UGGGGAAUUUUGGACAAUGGGCGAAAGCCUGAUCCAGCAAUGCCGCGUGUGUGAAGAAGGCCUUCGGGUUGUAAAGCACUUUUGUCCGGAAAGAAAUCCUUGGCUCUAAUACAGUCGGGGGAUGACGGUACCGGAAGAAUAAGCACCGGCUAACUACGUGCCAGCAGCCGCGGUAAUACGUAGGGUGCAAGCGUUAAUCGGAAUUACUGGGCGUAAAGCGUGCGCAGGCGGUUUGCUAAGACCGAUGUGAAAUCCCCGGGCUCAACCUGGGAACUGCAUUGGUGACUGGCAGGCUAGAGUAUGGCAGAGGGGGGUAGAAUUCCACGUGUAGCAGUGAAAUGCGUAGAGAUGUGGAGGAAUACCGAUGGCGAAGGCAGCCCCCUGGGCCAAUACUGACGCUCAUGCACGAAAAGCGUGGGGGAGCAAAACAGGAUUAGAUACCCUGGUAGUCCACGCCCUAAAACGAUGUCAACUAGUUGUUGGGGAUUCAUUUCCUUAGUAACGUAGCUAACGCGUGAAGUUGACCGCCUGGGGAGUACGGUCGCAAGAUUAAAACUCAAAGGAAUUGACGGGGUCAUAGCUGUUUCCU
rnacentral:rRNA from 1 species